rnacentral:tRNA from 1 species
GCCUGGGUAGCUCAGUUGGUUAAGCAUCUGACUUUGGCUCAGGUCAUGAUCUCACGGUUUGUGGGUUUGAGCCCUGCAUCAGGCU